ACUCGUAGACUCCUACGGGAGGCAGCAGUGGGGAAUAUUCACAAUGGGCGCAAGCCUGAUGCAGCCAUGCCGCGUGUAUGAAGAAGGCCUUCGGGUUUGUAAAAGUACUUUCAGCAGUGAGGAAGGUGGAUAUGUUAAUAGCAUACUCAUUUGACGUUAGCUGCAGAAGAAGCACCGGCUAACUCCGUGCCAGCAGCCGCGGUAAUACGGAGGGUGCGAGCGUUAAUCGGAAUUACUGGGCGUAAAGCGCAUGCAGGUGGUUUGUUAAGUCAGAUGUGAAAGCCCGGGGCUCAACCUCGGAAUUGCAUUUGAAACUGGCAAAACUAGAGUACUGUAGAGGGGGGUAGAAUUUCAGGUGUAGCGGUGAAAUGCGUAGAGAUCUGAAGGAAUACCGGUGGCGAAGGCGGCCCCCUGGACAGAUACUGACACUCAGAUGCGAAAGCGUGGGGAGCAAACAGGAUUAGAUACCCUGGUAG
rnacentral:rRNA from 1 species